rnacentral:pre_miRNA from 1 species
AAACAGCCCCCUAUGUUUGAUUCUUUGGCAGUUUUGGACCCCAAGGCAAAAAAAAAAAAAAAAAAUUGACACAUGGCACCUCACUUAAGGUGCCACGUCAGCGUUGACCGAGUCAACAAUGGACUGGGGGUCCAAAACUGCUAAAGAAUCAAAACAUAGGGGACUGUUU